rnacentral:rRNA from 1 species
UACGGAGGGUGCAAGCGUUAAUCGGAAUUACUGGGCGUAAAGCGCACGCAGGCGGUUUGUUAAGUCAGAUGUGAAAUCCCCGGGCUCAACCUGGGAACUGCAUCUGAUACUGGCAAGCUUGAGUCUCGUAGAGGGGGGUAGAAUUCCAGGUGUAGCGGUGAAAUGCGUAGAGAUCUGGAGGAAUACCGGUGGCGAAGGCGGCCCCCUGGACGAAGACUGACGCUCAGGUGCGAAAGCGUGGGGAGCAAACAGGAUUAGAUACCCUGGUAGUCCACGCCGUAAACGAUGUCGACUUGGAGGUUGUGCCCUUGAGGCGUGGCUUCCGGAGCUAACGCGUUAAGUCGACCGCCUGGGGAGUACGGCCGCAAGGUUAAAACUC